ensembl:lncRNA AABR07006685.1
UCACCCCAUUCAGUGCUGCUGUGGUAGAAAUGCUUACCAGAAAGCUCUCUGGAGGAAAAAAGAAAGGGAGGAAGGAGAAAAUAGCAAGGAAACUGGCCGCGCUGUGUAGGCUCUGCUAAAUUCCUCAUUAGUUGUUCUUUCCAUGGCUAGCCUCAAGUCAGCAGCAUCAGGUGGUGGAAUGUGGUGUCCAGAAGAGAUAUCCAGUCUCCGGGUUUUUUCUAGUCAUUUCCUGGGAAGACACGGCUGAUGGAAGUCAUCUUAAGAGCAUGCAAACCAUGGACGAUAGCAAAGAUAACCAGGAGAGGGUGGUGUCAAUGCUGGUGUCAUGGUCACUGGCUUUGAGAGCAGCAGGAACUCUAACCUGCCAACUCUUAUUUCAUAAGUGCUGGAAGCGAUCCAGGUGGAUGCAUCCCGGAUGCUAAGGAAUUCCUCGGUCUGAGACAUUUUGUUGGAUUUCUACAAUGUUCAAUCCCUGGAGCCCAUAUGGAAAAGCUGAAGGCAGUGACACACAUCUACAAGUACAGCACUCCUGUGGAGAGGAUGGAGAGACAGAAAUGGAGACAGAACUGCGGAGAAGCUGAUAGAGCAGCUAACACGAAGAAUUAGAACAUCAGAAAAAGAAGGUUUUGCCCAAACAAGGUAGAAGACAAGAACUGACUCCUUAAAGCUAUGUGUCCUG